UGAUGUUCCCAUCCCAUUUGAAGACACUUCUGAGUAUGAGAGUUCCAGCGAUGAAAGAAGUGAACCAGAUGUCUCAGACCUGGUAGUUGGUGACUUUGUCAUCGUAAGAUUUGCAUCCAAAUCCAGGAGCCACCAUUACAUUGGCCUGGUUGACAGCUUUGCAGACAACGAAGUGAGUGCCAGAUUUCUCAGAAGAAUCCGAGGGAUCACUAGCAGUAAGAAACCCACGUUUGUGUUCAAGGAAAAUGAUGAGGCAUCUUUCCCACGCAAGGAUGUGCUGAAGAAGCUACCUCAACCUCAACAGGCUGGAUGAACUGCAAGGAGGGAGCAACAGUUCAUAUUCCCCUGCAACCUUGAUCAUUGGAAUACUGAAUAGUUCUUUUGAAUAAAUGGUUUUGAACUGGUGGUUUGUUUAGAAACCACCAGUUUCCAGGUUUGUUCUCACAGGUUUACAACUGUUAAAAUGGUUUGUUUUCACAAUAUGAUCAGUUUUACAUUUUAAAAACUACAUGGUCAGUUUGCCCCAAGAUGGCUCAGUUUACCCACUGACUAGGUUCAAUUUACCCCUAAUCUGGGGCAAGUUGAGCCAAAGGAGCAUUUUUUUUAAUAGGUCAUUAUUUUGGGCAGCGUCAUCAGACAUAGAUUCUGAUCAUUACAUUUGAAAGGAGACAUCCUGAAAUAAAGGAAUAUGUUAUCAUUCUAUUUCUGUGUCAUUUUUUCUCACAUCCAGGGCAACAUGAGUAAAAAGUGGCUCAUCUUACCUCACUCUCCCCUACGUUUCCUUUGCCAAUUAGUACCUGGCUGACAGUGGCACAAGGUCAGACGAUGGGGACUGCCCACAGUUUAAUGAGGACUCACCCCAGACCGCGGUUUGAAGCAGAAGGAGGGGCAGCAGGAGCUGCAGUCCACAAACAGGCAGUAAGCCCUGCAUUCUGCUGCACCUGGAGACAGAGAUGAAGAGAAAGGGAGGGAAUUUGUCCGAGAGCUUACAGCAGCCAGCAAGCAAACAAGAGAUGGACGACCAGACAAACAAGGCUGAAGUAAUUAUUUUGCACUGAUCCAGGGACGAAUGGGAUACAGUAAAUCCAGGAUGUUGGCUGCAGGUUGUAAAGACUCCUCAGUUAAUCAAUGUCAGCGGAGCAGCGGCAGUAAAUCAUGCUGAGGCAAAGGCCAAGGAGCUGGUCAGUAAACCAGCACUAUCAACUGUGCACCAGAUUCCCCCAUUAGAAUAAAUAGAGCAGCAGUCUAUAGAUCAGUGCAAUCAUACAGUAUGUGUAAUAGCAUGAGUUGACUCGAGUUUUGCUUUUCAACCACCACACCACAGGCAUGAUGGGUUACAGAAAAGGAUGGCUGGUGUAUUCUCCUCUAUUUUUAGUAUUGUG